UACGUACCGUACGAACGUUAUUCGGAAUUACUGGGCUUAAAGGGUUUGUAGGCGGCCUUGUAAGUCAGGUGUGAAAUCCCUCGGCUCAACCGAGGAAUAGCGCUUGAUACUGCAAGGCUUGAGGGAGACAGGGGUAAGCGGAACUGAUGGUGGAGCGGUGAAAUGCGUUGAUAUCAUCAGGAACACCGGUGGCGAAAGCGGCUUACUGGGUCGCUUCUGACGCUGAGGAACGAAAGCUAGGGUAGCGAACGGG
rnacentral:rRNA from 1 species